CUGCCCAGUGACAAAGUUCAACGGCCACGGUACCCUGACCGCGCGAAGGUAGCAUAAUCACUUGUUCUUUAAAUAAGGACUUGUAUCAACGGCAUCACGAGGAUUAUACUGUCUCCUUUUUCUAAUCAGUGAAACUAAUCUCCCCGUGAAGAAGCGGGGAUACUACUAUAAGACGAGAAGACCCCAUGGAGCUUUAAACCCAACUACACCCCUAACUCCAAUAACCACUUAAUUAAAGAAUACUGUAUGCUUGGUUUUAGGUUGGGGCGACCACGGAGUAAAAACUAACCUCCACGAUGAAUGGGCUUACCCCCUUAUCUAAGAGCCACACCUCUAUGAAUUAGCACACUAACAUAAAAUGAUCCUUUUCUUGAUCAACGAACUAAGUUACCCUGGGGAUAACAGCGCAAUCCAUUUCAAGAGCCCAUAUCGACAAAUGGGUUUACGACCUCGAUGUUGGAUCAGGAUAUCCUAGUGGUGUAGCAGCUACUAAUGGUUCGUUUGUUCAACGAUUAAAAUCCU
rnacentral:rRNA from 1 species